ensembl:lncRNA
CAGAGCUGGAGUCAGGUUACACUUUCUCCAGAGAGUCUUUCCAGAAACUAGCCCUCCUCCAACUGGCUUAGUUCCGUCCACUGGGAGCGCACAGACCUCUGUAUCUAGCCCCAUUGUAGCAUGUGUCACUCUGUAUUGAAAUUGUCUAUAUAUGUGUCUGUUUCUCCUCUAGGUGCAAGAUUCCUGUGGCCAGGGAUGGUGCCCUGUUCAGGAUGGGAACCUGAGUGCCUAGCACAGUGCCUGACACAGGAGAGGGACCAAAUUAUUUGUUGUUUGAAACCGAGGACCAUCAGAGAAAAAUAGGGAUAAUUAAAUGUUUAUUAUCGUAACCAGAGAUCUUCUGAAUGUGGUCAGAAGAAUCAGCACCACCUUCAAUUCUUCUUGCUUAGUCAUCUGUUUUGUCAGUAUUUCAACAUAGAGACAAAAAUGCCUCCAGUAUUCUGAAGUUGAGGGAACAGACACUGUGCCUUUCUCACACCUGAGGACGCAGUGAGUCAUAACAGGAUGCUAAUGUUUGCUGGAAACACCGUCUCUCUGUUCUGUGAAGCCCACCAUCAUUCAUAAUCAGCUGUGCCAUCUCCAGAUGUGUUCUUUUGCUAUAAGUCAUCAACGUGUAGCCUGAGCUGGGAAGCACAUUCAUACUGUUGGACCACCUGUUACUGGAACAGAUCGUGUUCAGGCUUCCCAUGAAAUAUACCCUCCCCUCAACGCCCGGAAGGAAUUUGAGCCUGCAGAAUAGAAGCACUUCUCCGGGCUUAUAGCCUCGUGUUGGUCUGCAGGCAAGAAGAAGAAAGAGACAAAGCACAGGACUUUUGAGAGGUUACCACCAGCACCUGUGGAACAUGGACCAAUGGCUGUUAACAAUCAACCAAGAAGUGUGGAUUAACAGACAAAAGCACUGCAGAGCUGAAGUCUACAUUUUAAAGAGAAUAUUUAAUAAGCAGCAACAAUGUAUGGAGUGCUACUGUGAACCUGCAAUGUCACAGGCAGUGGGACUCUAGCAGAAGACCAAAACGGACCUGAUCUCCAUCCUGAUGGAGCUGACAUUGUGAUGCAGUAUUUCUCAAACUGUUUGUUAUCAUCCAUUACUGGGGGGUAAAAUCAAUGCUGUGUAACAAGACCUACAUUAGUUUUUUAAAAAAUUAAUAUAGAAUGCAAUAUAAAUUAUCAGAGCAUAUCACAUGUACAAGGGUAAGUUUUGUUUCAGUCAUAUAUAUUUCUGUAUGUGCACUGGAUUGCAGUAUGUUUUCUUAUUGCAAUUAUGUUUUUGUGUUGAAAAAAGGCACUGGUCUUCGUAGGACUUUACAUAGCUAAUAUAUUAUUGAUGCCUUCUUUUUACAGAAUAUAGGGAUUUAGGUCAUCUUAGAGAGAUAUACAAAACAGGAAGAUAACAUAAAUUAGAAAAUGAUGUAAAGAAACAAGAAGAUAGUGACAUAUAUUAAAGCCAGAAAUGAGACUAAGCUCUCUCGAAUGCAUUCUUAAAUACUUGCAAACUGGGGGAGUUCAUUUUGGCUUUAAUUUUUGUGGUCAAAUAAAAAGAACAAGAAAGGGAAGGCUGAUCAGUUCCAUCAGUUAUCUAAAAGGUCAACGCUCAGGAGUUACAUCUAGGACUGGUAGGAAGGCCAGAAAGAAGUUUGUCCCCAGGGUUCUCCUUAGGAAGAGACUCUAAAAUGCAACACUUUCUCCAUACAAGUAAACACUCAGUUCCAUGACCAUCUACAGGAGAUUAAUUAAUGUUAUUCCUUUCCUUCCUGUCCUAUUCUAUAAUACUCUCCAGGCUCAGAUACACAAGGGAAAGAAAUGGCAUAAAACCCUUGAGAAAAACAUAGAAGGGUGCCAUUUGAACAUCGAUUAAAAUCAACACAGAUUCCGCACUUGGGAAUUGUCAAGUCUAAAUGAGCUUUCUUAGGAAUUCGUUCUUCAGGCACCAACAAUUUUACUAGCUUUGACAAUAAUCCGUACAAUUUUCAUAGGUAAAUCCAACUUUUGCUUCUUCAACUUAGCAAAAUUUAUAAUCACGGGAAAUAAAAUUUUUUGAAACACAUUCACUAUGAGGUGCAUAAGAACAAAAACUAGCUACUUAAUAAGUAUGCAAAAAUGCAGCCCUAAGUAGUAGAAAAUGAAGUCCAUUUAUCUCUUGUUAUGAGUAUUUCUUAAACCCAGCUCCACAGAUAAAAUGUCAAAUUGCUAACCCUGGUUAUUAGUAAUCAUAAUCAAAUGAUGAUAGAAGCCAACUUCCCCAGGGAGAAAAUGUUUGAAAUUUUGACAGGAUGUAGAACAAAGCUAUUAGAAUGGGCUGCUCUGGGGUUGAUUGGUUGUCAUGAUCUAGAGAAAGUAUUUGGCAGGAUCUUAACUUUCAGAUCUUCAUCCUGCUGCCACCUACAAAUGCACCCGCUUUCUGAGAAGGACAUGGUUAGAAUAUAUGCUAAACGAAUCCGCUUGCUUGAUCACCAGCUGACAUGGAUCCCAAAUCACUAUUUUCACGCCAGUCCUAAUGAUGUAGGCUCCGUGGGAUGCGAGCACGGAGACAGCGGCAGGUCACUCAUUUCAUAGCUCAAUUUCCCAGAUGCUAUCUUAGUCCCCUCUUCUUCCAAGGGUCAACCCAGAGACACAGCGCAGCUGUCUGAAGGAGCAGAAGUCCCUGGGUGCAGAGGGUUUCUAAAGGAGCGGUAUCUGCUCUAGUCCAGUUUCGUUCAAAACUCCCAAGUUAUGGCUCCUUAUGUGCCUUAUGUGGUUAUCCAAUUAGAGCCCCCAAAAACUCCAUUUUUCUUCAAGUUGAUUUUAAGAGCUUCCCCCUGCACGGUACAGAAAGGGAGACAGAAGGAGAUGUGCACACCCCACCUGAAGGCUCAAGUGUGCCUCACACAAUGUUGCCAGAAGAGCCCGGCUUCCAGCAUGGACCAGCUCGCUUGUUUAGAACACAACUCUAAUAAGGGUAAGAGGGGGUGACAUUCAGAUCCCUUAUGCAGCUGGUGAACCCAAUGAGUUUACCUUGGAGGGAGAACAGUCAGGAGCUGACUGCUUUUUUCUCUCCUUGUGGUCCUCAGACAUCUCCAUUGUCAGACUUGCCCCCUGAAAUCAUCUGAGGUCCCAGAGUUUUCAGUCAUGCCUCUUUCCGGUAAUUAGGACUCGUUUUCAGGCUUUAAAACUUCCUAGUCCAUUCCAAUGCAGAAGUUCAACCUUACACUCUUACAGUCAAUAUAAUAAUCUUAUAGUAGUAGCACUUCCAUCCCUUGGCUUCAGAACUUCAGCGGGGUGAUGCAGUCAGAAGGUGGGAAAGACGCAAAGCUCCAGGGGUCCCCGUGAUUGGUGCAGUCGUGGUCCAACAGCAGGUGCCUCUGUGAGGCAGGCGGCACCAGAGGCCCUCUGAGCACAUUUGUGAGUUUCUUUGGGAGGCUUCCUGUGUAGCUUUCUGAAACUCUUGCUUGAUUUCCAGACAGGGCAAAGUACAAUCUUCCCUUUACUUACUCAAUAGUUGCAUUCCUGAAAAAUUAGAGCAUGUUAAGAUGGCGCCAAAAGUACUGGGUAUUUACAUGUAUAAUGGAGUUAAGGUCUGGGUUCGGAGAUUUAUAAAGAGGUUUUUCACCAAUGAGACAUUUGAAGGCUGUAGGGGAAGUGGGACGCUUCUCUGUCCUGAGCAUUGCAGAUGUCAAGUAUCCCCACCUCCUCCCACUAAAUGUCAGAGACAGCACUCCCACCCCCUCAUCCUGGUGACGGCCAAAAUUACCCCCUCAUAUUUCCAGAAAUGCCCCAGCGGGGAAUUGUACUGCCCUCAGUGAGCCCUCUAGCCCCUACUUUUUGAACAUGGGACACUUAUCGCCUCCUGUCCUCAACUCUGAGCUUUUAGCUGAAUCUCGAGACAGGAGUCCGGACUAAGAAAAUCCCUACUAGGGGUUUUAGAUUAAACUAUACUUACUGUGCUAAGCACUACAUAUAAAUUCUUGUAAAAUUGUGUUAGGUUAAAUUUCAGCAAAUGAGGAAACUCAGAACAGUUAAAUAACUUAUCUGAGGUCAUUCAGCUAAUAAAUAGCAGCAUCAGAAUUUGAAUCACAGGCUUCUGAUCUAAUACAUUUAAAUAACUAAAUUGGAUUUUUGUAAGAAAGAACAAAGAAAAAACAAUAAUCACAUUAUAAAAUGGAGCCAUGAUAAAGUUUAUAUUCGUAAAAUGCUUGCCAUAAAGUUCAACAUACUGCCUAAGGCUGGACCACAAAUUUUCCUCUGAAAUAAAAACAGGGAAACAUUUUCAACUACACCAUUCACAAACUCACAAAGUUAAACUAAAGAGAAUCACUUUCCCUAACUUUAAGCCUACCUUUCUUUCUGAAAUUCUGUGGUCCAAAUUAUCUAUUGCCCCCAUUUGGCAUUUAGUCCAUAUUAGCUUGUACAGCUAUUUAUCUCUUUACUGAAAAUUCAGUAAAUUUGACCUUUUGAGAAUUUUCCUUGGGCUCAUUUUGAAAGGUACUGUAGAAUGUUGAUUUUGUGAAAAAUGAUGAUGAUCCUAGCUCCCUAAGCUGUCUGGAGCCUGCUCUCCAUCCUCAGCGUUACUCACUGGUAUCCUGACUAUCUCCUCAGCUCUGGCAUGGCUCCAAACUGUCCCCCACAUUGCUGCUAAAUUCUUCUUUCUAAAAUGCACGUCUAACUGUACCUCUUAUCUGCUUCAACUAUUCCAGUGAGUUCUUAAUAGCAAUAGGAUAAAGGCUAAACCCUCACAGCGUGGCGGUAAACUUUUCUAUGACUCUCUGGUUCCUGAUUAUUCCAGUCUAAUCCUAUGCCCGCUCAUACCCAACAUUACCAUCUAUUGAACAACUUUGUGCACAGCAAAGCUUUUUGGACCUGGAGCAACUUGCUCAUGCUGUUCUUCUUGCUUGGAAUACCCUUCAUAUCCCAUGCUCCCGUUACAUAUGUCUUCCUUGCUUCGCUCAAGCAUCAUUGCAUUAGUGAGGUUUCAAUUACUAUAGGCUAGGUAGUAAAUAAGCCCCCCCAGUUUUGGUGGACCACAAUGAUAAUCACUUAUCUUGUAAGAGAGCAAAAAGGGGCUCGUUCUGCUUGCCACAAUCUGGUGCCAAUCAAUUGCAAACAAUCCGGUGGUUGAGAAAGGCAAAUUGAUAUGAUUAGCCAGCAUAAUCGGAAGAUGAUGGACUAGUGCCCUGAAGAACCAUCUUAAAAUCAUAAGACUCCUGAGGCAGUUGUAGAGGGGAAAUGGGCGGGGAAGGCGGGGAGUUGGGGAAAUCGAUUAUCUGGUGUGAUGAAAUUCAAGGCACCACAUUAUCUCUUUCUUCUGUCAUUCGUGAUGGGUACCAAUGCAGCAAUUUUCUUUCUGGAGGUCGUAGUGUUCCUGGGGAACUCAGAGAACAAAGCUGUCUUACCACAGCUGGGAGAUAUAUGUAAGCAAGACUCAUAGAAUUAGCAGAUCGUGUAUUUUGUAAAAGCAAAAGGUGCUUAAUCAUCUAGGCUACCUGCAGGUUGGAAUGUAUUCACAGAGACUAGUGAGUCAGGGUCAUGGUUACAAUAUUGCUUCUUUUCCCUAAGAUGGCUUCCCUCAUGUUAACUUAAGAUCUAGUGGUUACAAUUUCAUGCUCACAGGUUUGCAGGUCAGCCAAGGGAGCUCUGUGAGGCUGUGGGUCAGGUUUAUAUUUGCUCCUCGUAUCUCUCAUUAUGGGACCUAGGGCUACCCACGGCCUAUUUUUCUUCUGGUGGAUGGUAGGUCAAGAGCAGCAGUCAAUCACCAAAGCACAUUUAAAGCUCUUUAACAUUCUGUUGCCCCAUGCAAGUCACAUGGCCAAGCACAAAGUCAAUGGGUUGGAAAAGUAUACUCUGCCUCUUCAACAGUCAGAGUCACAGUAACGUCUCACGGAAACUGGUGUGGAUGCCUAAUUCUGUUAUGGAGAAGUAGUGAAGACCUGGGAACUAGAAUUCAAUUGGUCCUAAUCAUCUCUAUGAAGCUUUCUCUAACUAUCCCAAGUCCUUGAUAAAAUGAUCACUCCUUUCUUUGUGGACCCACUCACAACAGACAUAAUUCUAUAAUAGCAUCUUUAACAUAUUUAAUAAACUCCCUUCUUUAAGUGUCUGUCCUCCUCUAUUACAUGGUAAAAUCUCAUUUUAUUCACCUUUGUGUUUUUCAAGUUUAUCACAGACCGUGGCACACAUCAAUAAAUAGUUGUUGAAUUAAUUAUUUAAUUUUUAACUAAGUACAUUGAGCAAAAGAGUGUAAAGCACAAAGAGGAUAAAGUAUUAAGAGUAUAAAGUAUAAGAGUAUAAAGAAUCUAAAUGGACCAUGAAAAAUCUCAACCACAAAUAGGAAAACAAGUUGUAGAUCAUUCAAUCAAGUUCAUAAAGAGAGGAGGCCCGUUGAUUACCCAUCUGUCUUUGAAAGCAUGAUAUAAAGAUGUCCAAGGCAAAGACUGUUGGGAGUAUGUGUCUGGUUUCCUGUGAGCACGUGGGGCAAUUGCUUAAGACUGGUUUGAUCCAGAUGUGGUGGACCUGCUGCUGUGGGCGGGAAGGGAGCUCUUGCCCAGGGAAAGUGUGGUGAGAGUCUGUUAGAAGGAGGAAACCUCAAAGGAAAAACGGUUCUGAGACCUUAUUUACGACAACGUUUUGUGUAGCCCUUUAAGUGGGGAAGUGGCUACUUUUUAAACAAAAAUUGGUCUGUUGAAAAAAGAAAAAAAAGGGACAUUGGUCAUUUGUUCUUGUAGAUCAUGCAACAAACAAAAAUGUCUCUGAAAGAAUGCAUGGUGUUUAUUUAUAAGAUGGGAUUAAAUUUGUGAAACUUCAGUUUAAUUAAAAUUAUUUUUCAUAUUUGCAACCGUCCACAACAUAUCUGUACAUGAACACAGAGGUGACGAGGAAGAAU